rnacentral:rRNA from 1 species
GAUCAUGGCUCAGGAUGAACGCUAGCUACAGGCUUAACACAUGCAAGUCGAGGGGCAGCAUGAACUUAGCUUGCUAAGUUUGAUGGCGACCGGCGCACGGGUGAGUAACACGUAUCCAACCUGUCGUCUACUCUUGGACAGCCUUCUGAAAGGAAGAUUAAUACAAGAUGGCAUCAUGAGUCCGCAUGUUCACAUGAUUAAAGGUAUUCCGGUAGACGAUGGGG